UACGUAGGUGGCGAGCGUUGUCCGGAUUUACUGGGCGUAAAGCGCGCGCAGGCGGCGCGUUAAGUCUGGUGUGAAAGCCCCCGGCUCACCCGUGGGAGGGCACUGGAGACUGACGUUCUUGAGGAAGGUAGGGGAGGGUGGAAUUCCCGGUGUAGUGGUGAAAUGCGUAGAUAUCGGGAGGAACACCAGUGGCGAAAGCGGCCGGCUGGGCCUUUUCUGACGCUGAGGCGCGAAAGCGUGGGGAGCGAACAGG
rnacentral:rRNA from 1 species